UACAGAGGUCUCAAGCGUUGUCCGGAAUUAUUGGGCGUAAAGAGCUCGUAGGCGGUGUGUCGCGUCGGCCGUGAAAACCUGCAGCUUAACUGUGGGCGUGCGGUCGAUACGGGGCAUCACUGGAGUUCGGCAGGGGAGACUGGAAUUCCUGGUGUAGCGGUGAAAGUGCGCAGAUAUCAGGAGGAACACCGGUGGCGAAGGCGGGUCUCUGGGCCGAUACUGACGCUGAGGAGCGAAAGCGUGGGGAGCGAACAGG
rnacentral:rRNA from 1 species